rnacentral:misc_RNA from 1 species
GAGAAAUCCUCGCAGAUGAGGCUCGCGGCCGACUCGGACUGAAACCUGCCAAGCUGGAUUCCCCUCGUAGGGGAAGCCUCGCCGUUCACGGCGAGGAGGAUGUCACCGUUUC